AUACUCACCCGGAAGGUGAAAUACCAUGAUCACUAACAUGGUUUCCCCAGGGCAGUUCCUUCUCCAUUGUGCUCUAGAUAUGCUGACCCCUGCAAUUUCCCCAAAUGUGGAAAACUCGCCUGCAUAAUUUGUGGUAGUGAGGCACUAAGUUCAUGCUCCCCCC
ensembl:snRNA U1 U1 spliceosomal RNA